CAGCAGAGAACGCGGAGACACGCAGAACGCGGCCCAGUCCUUCAGGGCCCUCCAGGCCCUCCGGCCCCGGGCCGGCGGGUGAACUGGGGAGCCCCGGGACAGGCCGAGCCCUGUGCCAUGCAGAUACCGGAGGCCUCUGCUGCGGCUGCCCACUGGCUGUGCCCAGGCCUUGAAGCCGCCGCGAACCUCUCUUCCCCACCCCACCUCGGUGACUGAUGGCGGCGGCGGCCUCUCCAGUCCCGGACCCGGCCGACCGCCGGGUCUCCCGGCCCAAGCCUGCCGGGCCUCAACGAAACCCCCGCAGAGCCGCCGGGACGCAGCGCCUUUGGGCGGCGGCGGGCGUGGCGGGCCGGGCAGCAUGGCGGCCGCGUGGCGGAGGCCGUUAGGGCGUGUAGGGCCCAGGAAGGCGGCCUAGGGACGCAGGCAGGCUCGGCUGCCUCUUUAGGCCACGGAGCCGCGCAGAUCCGGUUCCCGGGGGACCACUCUGUCGCCAUUGGGCGAAACCUACCUAGUCCUGACGACAGCGGACAAAGGCCUUAACGGAGCUGGGAGGUGAGCGAAGUCCCGAACGACGACGGGUGGAACGAUUAGCGGCCAUCGGGCAGUUGGUCUUCGUUCUACCAGACUUUGCUGUUGGAAGAGAGAAAUGGUAGAAUGACACGCCACGUUUGGCCCGUUGGAAAUGCCCGCCACCCUCUGGGAAGAUUUACUGGCCGAUUUUGGAAGGCCUGUGUAUAUAAUAUGAAAAAGCUGCUCUCAACUCCACCCCAACCUUUUAAUAGAAAACAUUUGUCACAUCUAGCCCUUUUAGAUGGAAGGAAGUUGCCAACGUAUGAUAAAGUAGAGUUAGAAAGUCACACAUCUUGUAAAUUCUCAUUUGUUUAAAAGAAAUCAUAGAAAAUACGUGUCUUCUGGAGAUGACUUUUGGAAAUGAAGUUGUUAGACAGCCUCUGGAAGCGAUACGUCCACGUUAAGUGGGUUAGAUGACAUGGAGCUGGAAGACGUGAGAAGGAAGAGAAGGUUCUAUGCUAGACUGGUCAUAUUUAGAAGACAUUUUCAUAGUCUAUCCAUUGUUUUGUGUGCAUUUUAUUCCUCACUACUGUGUAUAUAGUUGACAAUGCUAAGCUUUUUUGAAAUGUCUAUUCUUUUUAGAUGUUCUGAAGUGCCUGAUAUAUGUUAAAAUUAGAGGUAGCAAAAUAACAUUUUGUAAGUAUCUUUUUGUUACAAUUCAUAGGAAAUGUUUUUUGGGGGGAAUGGCCAAAUCACCUGUUGAGUAAUACUCAUUGUGUUUGUGCAGUGGUUCAGGGGAGGAGAGAGGAGGGGGAGGUGCAGAGAGCUCUAUGCCAUCCUGCUUGCAGUGAGGCAAGAUGAAUCAUUAUCUCUGUGCAUUUUGUUUUACUUAUCUGUGUAUAUAGUGUGCAUAAAGGACAGACGAGUCCUAAUUGACAACAUCUAGUCUUUCUGGAUGUUAAAGAGGUUGCCAGUGUAUGACAAAAGUAGAGUUUAAACUAAUAUAUUUUGUACAUUUUGUUUUACAAGUCCUAGGAAAGAUUAUCUUCUGAAAAUUUGAUGUCUUCUGGGUUGAUGGAGAUGAAGGGUUCUAGGCCAGAAUGUUCACAUUUGGAAGACUUUUAAAUUAUAAGUGUUGUUACAUGUUUGCAGUUUAUUCAAGACUGCUAUGUAUAUAGUGGACAAAUUAACUCCUUACUUGAAACAUCUAGUCUAUCUAGAUAUUUAGAAGUGCCCGAUGUAUGUUAAAUGUAGAGGUAGUAAAAUACCACUUUGUAAAUAUCUUUUUGCUAAAAUUCAUAGGAAAUACUUUUGGAAAUUGAAUUGCGAAGCCACCUUUGUGAGCAGUGUAGUAAUGUCUAUACUUGUUCAAUGGUUUAGAGGUGGUGGGAGGGAAGAAAUUGCAAAAGGUAAUAUACUAGUGUGUUCAUACUUGGACAUUUUCAAACAUUUUUCUGUAUGUUUUGUGCAUUUUGUUUUGCUCUGUAUAUAGUGUAUAUAAUGGACAAAUAGUCCUAAUUUUUCAACAUCUAGUCUCUAGAUGUUAAAGAGGUUGCCAGUGUAUGACAAAGUAGUAAAAUUAGCACAUUUUGUAUGCUUUGUGUUGAAAUUCAUAGGAAAACUUGUCUUCUGUAAAUGACUUUUGCAUAGGAAUUUGUUCAACCAUCUCUGAGCAUUACACUUUCCUGUACUUGUCCACUGGAUUAAAGACAGAGAAGGAAGGAAGAGAGGAGGGAAUGAUUCAAGGCCAAAAUGGCCACAUUUAGAAGAUACCUCAGAUGAUAACUAUUGUUAUAUGUGUGCAAUUUUAUUUACCAGUGCUGUGUACGUGGUGAACAAGUUAUAUGAAAUAUCUAGUCUUUCUAGAUAUUUGGAAGGAAGUGCUUGAUGUAUUUAAAAGUGGUAGUAGAAUAACACUUUUUGUAAAUAGCUUUUAAAAACUGAUGGGAAAUGCUGUUUGGAAGUGGAAUUGUUGAACCACCUGGGAGGUGGGAGGGAAAAAACUGCAAAAGGUGUUUUGCCAUUGUUUAUUAGAAAAUUUCAGCUUAAUCCAUUGCCUAUAUGUCACAUGCAUUUCAUUUAACUUUGCUAUACUGUAUAUAUUGUGUAUAUACUGGAUGAAUUAGUCCCGAUUUUGUAAUAUCUAGUCUCUAGAUAUUAAAGAGGUUGCCAAUGUAUGACAGAAGUAGAGUUAGUAAACUAAUACAUUUUGUACACUUUGUUAAAAUUUGUAGAAAGGCUGUCUUCUGAAAAGGACUUUUGGAAGUGAAAUGAUAACAUCAGCUCUAAGUGACACGUGCCUAUAUCCACCAGGUUGGUGGUGGAGAGGAGUUGGAAGGAAUGAAGGGUUCUAGACCAGAAUGUUCCUAUUUAGAAGACACUUUGAGAUAUAACCAUUGUUACCUGUGUGUAGUUUAUUCAACACUACUGUGUAUAUAGCAGACAAACUUAAGUCCUUAUUUGAAACAUCUAGUCUUUCUAGAUGUUUAGAAGUGCACAAAGUAUGUUAAAAGUAGAGGUAGUAAAUAACACAUUUUGUAGCUAUCCUUUUGAUACGAAAUAUUGUCUUGGAAACUGAUCAAUUCCCUGAGCAGUACACAUUUUGAGAUAUUUGUGCUGGUUCAGGGGGAAGGAGGAGCACAAAGUGCAAAGGGCUUUCUACCAGUGUCCAGUGUGUUUAAGAGGAGGCACAUUGACCAUUGUCCCUUGUGUCUGCAUUUUCAUUUACUGUGCUGUGUAUAUAGUGUAUAUAAGUGGACAUAGGAGUCCUAAUUUACAUCUAGUCGAUGUUAAAGAGGUUGCCAGUGUAUGACAAAAGUAGAAUUAGUAAACUAAUACAUCGAGUACACUUUGUGUUAAAAUUCACAGGGAAGACUUCUUAAAAACAGAAGGAAAAUUGUUAAAAUCCACCCCUAAGCAUUACAGAUGGCUUAUAGCUGUCCACCAGGUUGGUAGAGGUGGGAAAGGGAAGGGUUCUAGGCCAGAAUGUUCCUAUUUAGAAGACACUCAAAUUAUAGUCUGUGUUAUGUAUGUAUACCAUUUAUUCAAUGCUACUGUGUAUAUAAUGGAAAA